UACGUAGGGGGCAAGCGUUGUCCGGAUUCAUUGGGCGUAAAGAGCGUGUAGGCGGCCAGGUAGGUCUGGUGUGAAAACUCGAGGCUUAACCUCGAGAUGUCAUCGGAAACCAUCUGGCUAGAGUCCGGAAGAGGAGAGUGGAAUUCCUGGUGUAGCGGUGAAAUGCGCAGAUAUCAGGAAGAACACCCGUGGCGAAGGCGGCUCUCUGGGACGGUACUGACGCUGAGACGCGAAAGCGUGGGGAGCGAACAGG
rnacentral:rRNA from 1 species